CAAGGAAUUUUCCGCAAUGGGCGCAAGCCUGACGGAGCAACGCCGCGUGCAGGACGACGGCCUUAGGGUUGUAAACCCCUUUCGCCGGGGAAGAUGAUGACGGUACCCGGAGAAGAAGCACCGGCUAACUCCGUGCCAGCAGCCGCGGUAAGACGGAGGGUGCUAGCGUUGUUCGGAAUCACUGGGCGUAAAGGGCGCGUAGGCGGCCUGGACAGUCAGAUGUGAAAGCCCGGGGCUCAACCCCGGAACGGCAUUUGAUACUGCCAGGCUGGAGGUCGGAAGAGGAGGGUGGAAUAUCCAGUGUAGAGGUGAAAUUCGUAGAUAUUGGAUGGAACACCGGUGGCGAAAGCGGCUCUCUGGUCCGAACCUGACGCUGAGGCGCGAAAGCGUGGGGAGCAAACAGGAUUAGAUACCCCCGUAGUCC
rnacentral:rRNA from 1 species